CUGCCCACUGAUAAAAUUUAAAUGGCCGCAGUACCUUGACUGUGCUAAGGUAGCAUAAUAAAUUGACUCUUAAUUGGGGCCUUGAAUGAACGGAUAAAUGAAUAAUUUCUGUCUUAAAUAAACUUAAUAAAAAUUACUAAGAAGGUGAAAAUUCCUUUAAAUUUAUUUAAUAGACGAGAAGACCCUAGGAGUUUUAAAUUUUGUUGGGGCGACAGUAUAGCAUAAUUAAUAAACCUAUAUAAAUUAAUAUAUAUAAAACGAAUAAUUUUAAUAAUAAAUAAACUACCCUAGGGAUAACAGCAUAAUUUAUAUUUAAGUUUGUGACCUCGAUGUUGGACUAGGAACUUUUAAUAUUAAUAAUAUUAAUUGGUAGUUCUGUUCGA
rnacentral:rRNA from 1 species